rnacentral:lncRNA from 1 species
CUUAUUUGUAAAUUAUUGGUUACAAUGUUUAACAAUAGGAAAUAUUCAAGAAUAAAUAAAAUAAAAGUUUAAUCCUAACAACACAAAACAUUCCAGGAAUGUAGGUACUACCGUUCUAUUCCGUGAACAUCUAUCUGAUUAAAUUAUGGGUGGAAAGUUACCACAAGAUAUUCUAUGAACAUAGUACAAUGUCUUCCUGGAGGGGUAAAAUUUUCCAUUACAAGAUUUUAAGAGAGGCCAUUUAUUGUACUGUUCAAUUUGCGUUCAUUUUCAAAUUUGCCGCGCGAGUAUCUAUGUAGCGUCUCGUGGUCAUUGGUCAUCACAUUUCAUUUUCAUAACAUAACCGAUAACCUAAAAAUUUAGUAAAGUAAAAAUUUUGAUUGGAAAAAAAUGCAUCGAUAAGGGGGUGUGGGAAAUGGAAAUUAGUGGCUUUUUGCUGUACUGUCUACUAGUUUUUGCUCUGGGCUCUGGCUAGAUCUCUUGUUUAAACAAUUUUAAUCAGCUGAAAGUGGCCUACAAAAAAAACCAAGAAGGAAAUGUAUAGCCUUGUGGCUAUGAAAGGCAAAAGAGAGAUAUAAAAAGUGUAUUGGCUAGUUGGAAGAAAGUCCACAUUGUCCAUGCAUAAUAAGUUAUUACUUUAUCAACAAAUAUCAAGAAGAUAGCAGGGUCACGAGCAUCAACUUCAUGAGUUCAAGAAUAUCGAGGAAAUCCAGCUCCUCGAUACUACUGGGCAAACUAGAAGAUUGAAGAGGACAAAUCCUUUUGAACUAGUUUGAGUGAUAGGUGAUAGUGAAAAACGGAGCAUAGUGCUUGUGUGCUGUGCCUGUGUAUGUUAGAAUAGUGCACGAUCUUGUUAGAUUAGAUAAGAGACGCUAUGGGGUAAGCUCUUCAUUUUAAGAAACAGUAGUAAUUUAGGUUAAAUUAAAAUUGCUCAUUGGUCAAAGUUAUGACCAGAUUGUUUUUUUAUGUUUGGCAAAAAGGACUUAAGUCAGAAUUGCACAUUGAUAAUGUUUUGAUGAUUUCUGGACCAGAAAAAAACUGUUGUAGAUGUAAACUGUAUGUACAGUAGAAUCUACUACAGUACUGUAGAAAUCAUCAAAACAUUAUCGAUGUGCAAUUCUGACUUAAGCCCUUUUUCCCAAACAUCAGAGAAUUGUAAUGUACAAUAAUUCUCCUAUCUGCUUUUUCAUGAAUUUUGUAGGAGACGAAAAACCAUUUUUAGGAUCAUCUGCUUUCACAUGUAAAUUUUGACAUGUUUUGUAGUAAAUAGAUAGUUGAAUUUACUACAAAACAUGUCAAAAAAUAUAUGAAAACAGGAGGUGACUAUAAAAAAAGUUUUUAGUCUCUCUUACAAAACUCAUGAAAAAACAAAUCGGAGGUAUGUCACAUCAGUGACUAAGAAUGUCUAAAAAAUAUACUUUGAUGUCCCAAGAACCAAAUAUAACCUACAGUCCAUCUAAUUUACUUACUGUUGCACGUCAUUAUCUACGCCAGAGAUCUAAGUUGACAUAGUUGCCAAAGUAUAAAAAGAUCCUGAAUCCAUUUUAAAUCAAAUAUGUCACAUAAUUAUUGUAAACGUGGAUUAUACAACAAAACAAAUUAAUAUUCAAUGUAAAUAAGUAAAAACUUAAGAAAUAGAGAACAAGAAUUAUGUUAUAAUCUUUUAAGAUUUGCAGUGCAAGAGUUUUUGCACUGCAUUGUUAAUAAUUAAAAAACGGCUCCGAACUCUUGGCAAAAAGCUGGUAGGUUUCUUUGUAUAAGUAUGUCUACAAUAACAACUAAAAAAGUUGUCAGAUACCUCGAUUAUUCCAAGUCGUUAUAAAAUUAGGUGAAAUUUAUAUUUUUAUAGUAGAGGAUCUUUUUAUAGUAAAGUAAAUAAUAAAAACAGUAAAUAUAAUAAAUAAAACAGAUACUUAUUCGCGGUGUGCAAGUACUUGGAAAGGGAAACGACAAACGACCCUGCGCGAGUCGCGGAGAAAUAUUGCAACUAUCUUAAAUAAUUCAUAUUGUCAAUUGAAAUUGUCAAAUUGACGUAUAUUUCAUACCUUCUGUCAAUGAAGCAGAAAAAAUAUAUAUUGCUCCACAAUAUUGAUAUGAUAUGCAAUUAUUAUAUAAAGGUAAAUUUAAUUAAUUGUAUUUUGCUUGCAGUACUGCAUUUUAAUAACUAAUUUUAUUUACUACAUACAAUUGUUGAUGUUUUCAUAACAUAACCUGAAUCUUAUUUUUUCUUCUUAUUAUUUUUUUGGACUAUGGCCUUGACAAUUAUCCAGUAACCAGGACUAAUAUAAUUGGCCAAUAUAAUUAAAAGUGCGAAUAAUAGUACAGAGCGUAGAAAUAGGGGUCGCUUUGCCGAACUUGCAUGGUCCCAAUAGUAAAGAAUAUAAACAAAUAUGAACUGUCAUCACCGUAACUGUCAAAUAAAUGUUACCAAUUUAUUCUAAAAUGUCACCUUCGUUCGAUUACAGUUACAGUGUGAUCCGAACAAAUCUGCUUCAUAAAAAUGCUUUAUAAUCCAUUUAUACAAAUUAAAUGAAACAUAUUAUUGUGUAUUUCUUUAGGUUAACAUUAAUAGAAAUCUUCAAAUAUUAUUUCUACGCGUAUAUAAUAAAAUAUGUCUAGUGGCUGUAAUUCCAGUGUACUCGGCAAAGUGAUUCUAAAAAAGAACACACCUACCGCCUAAAUAUUUCGUGUUGGUAUCAUGCGAUUUCACAGGCUAUGACGCGGAUGACGCGCAACAGUUAGUAAAUUAGACGAAGUAUGUAGAUAUAUACAGGGUGUAACAAAAAUACAGGUCAUAAAUUUAAUCACAUAUUCUGGGACCAAAAAUAGUUUGAUUGGACCUAACUUACCUUAGUACAAAUGUGCACACAAGAAAAGUUACAGCCCUUUGAAGUUAUAUAUAUAUAAUAGCACCAAGGGUCUUAGAGGCCCAUGGCUUGAAAAGUUUGUUUUUUUUCUUCAUUUUCACGUUUCUUUAUGUACUGAGAUCUUCUCUGGCUUGAUAUGUGAUUUUUCUCCAUUCCUUCCUGUUAUUCAUUUUUCUUUUCUGACCCUGUAGCACCAUUCUUUCCAAAUCUUUUUCGACCUCUUGCUUCCAUCUAUUUUUCGGCCUUCCUCUUCUCUUUCUUGAAGCUGUAGUGUAGUUUAGUACCAUUUUUGGAGUCCUCGUGUUUGGCAUCCUUUCAAUGUGACCUCGCCAUCUAAGUCUCUGUGCCUUUAUCAUUCAUUUGAAGUUACAAGAUGAAGUGAUUUUUUCCAAUAUAUCGAAAACUAUUAGAGAUUUUUUAUUGAAAAUGGACAUGUGGCAUUAUUAUGGCAGCA